UUGGACAAUGGGCGAAAGCCUGAUCCAGCCAUGCCGCGUGUGUGAAGAAGGUCUUCGGAUUGUAAAGCACUUUAAGUUGGGAGGAAGGGCAGUCAGUUAAUACCUUGCUGUCUUGACGUUACCAACAGAAUAAGCACCGGCUAACUUCGUGCCAGCAGCCGCGGUAAU
rnacentral:rRNA from 1 species